rnacentral:tRNA from 1 species
GCCGGGAUGGAGAAAUGGUAGACUCAGGGGUCUCAAAAGCCCCCGCCCGCAAGGGCUUGUCGGUUCGAGUCCGACUCCCGGCACCA